rnacentral:rRNA from 1 species
GAUGAACGCUGACAGAAUGCUUAACACAUGCAAGUCGACUGGAAUUCACCUUCGGGUGAUAGUACGGUGGCGGACGGGUGAGUAACGCGUAAAGAACUUGCCCUCUAGACUGGGACAACUGUUGGAAACGACAGCUAAUACCGGAUAUUAUGAGAUUCUCGCAUGGGAAACUUAUGAAAGGCUAUAUGCGCUAGAGGAGAGCUUUGCGUGCCAUUAGGUAGUUGGUAGGGUAAUGGCCUACCAAGCCGACGAUGGCUAGCCGGCCUGAGAGGGUGAUCGGCCACAAGGGGACUGAGACACGGCCCUUACUCCUACGGGGAGGCAGCAGUGGGGAAUAUUGGACAAUGGACCAAAAGUCUGAUCCAGCAAUUCUGUGUGCACGAUGAAGGUUUUCGGAUCGUAAAGUGCUUUCAGUAGGGAAGAAAAAAUGACGGUACCUACAGAAGAAGCGACGGCUAAAUACGU